rnacentral:rRNA from 1 species
UACAGAGGUCUCAAGCGUUGUUCGGAUUCAUUGGGCGUAAAGGGUGCGUAGGCGGCGCGGUAAGUCGGGUGUGAAAUCUCGGAGCUUAGCUCCGAAACUGCAUUCGAUACUGCCGUGCUUGAGGACUGGAGAGGAGACUGGAAUUUACGGUGUAGCGGUGAAAUGCGUAGAUAUCGUAAGGAAGACCAGUGGCGAAGGCGGGUCUCUGGACAGUUCCUGACGCUGAGGCACGAAGGUCAGGGGAGCAAACGGG